CCCUUUCUUUUGGACUUUAAUGUGUAUAAUUGCAAUUGUCCAUCUUUUCUGUUGGACUAGGAUUGUAUCCCCUCAAACUCCCUUAGCAUCAGGGGCAUGUUAACCAUAAAUGAGCUCUUCCUGAGAGUAUUAAUAUACAUACUUGUAUUUGUUUGUGGAUUUGUGCAGUGUGAAAGGAUGCUUUAUGCCCCUACCAUUGCCUUUGGAUUGCUGCUGAGGACUGCUAUCAUGACCUCAGCUCUUGGACAAUUAAUAUGCCCCACUAGCAAUGAUGGGACCUAUGUACUCCCUUUGUAUACAUCAGGGGUACUGACUAAGGUCCCUUUCUUGGACAGUCAAUGGGCAAUUAUCUAUGUUCCCUUCUGUUAGAUUUAGGAUAACAUUCCCUUAAACCCCCUUUGCAUUACUAUAGUAAUUACUAUUACUAUAUUACUAUACUAUUAUAUUUUGUGCUGACCACACAAAACUUCUCCUGGGACUGUUAAUGGGCACAAUGGCAAUUAGCAAUGAGUUUUUCCUCCCUGGCCUUGUUAGGCAAACAUUCCCAGCCCCAAUUUUGCAUGACAUAAUUUAAGUAUAAACAUUGCAGUAUGCUGUGAACUUGUUUAUCAAAUAGCAACCCAUACUCCCUCUCCUUUUGUAUUGCUCCUAUCUAUAAAAUUCCAAGUAGUCAUGGUCUUCCCCUUAUCCUCCCUCUUCCCAGCCCGUGCUCACCCUUGGACCCUUCCUAUGGACCUUUUUCACAGUUUCAGGUGUUCAUCUAUUCAGCCAUUAAAUAAGAUUGUCCCUCCCCCCCCCCUUUGCAUUAUUGCUGGGGAAUGUUGACUGGGCAAGGCCCUUGCUCUUGGACUUAAAACAUUAACAAUCCCUGUGUCAUUGCCUUACCCACUUUAUAUUGCUGUAAUGCCUCAGUUGUACUUUCCUUAGUCCCACCCAUCGGACAUGGACCCCUCCACUUCUUUGCAUUGCAUUGCUGACUACCCAAAGUCCCUUCUGUGUUAUUGACACAGUACUGAUUGUCCCAUUUUUCCGCUCAUCAGCCCACGAUUUUCCUACCACUUUGAUGUCAAGUGUGCAGUAUUGACUACCAAAAGCAGACCUGAAUUAAGUGGAUGGGCCUUCACUCCUUUUUCUGCAUUUGUUAAUGAUCCAAUUCCAGUUGUCACAUUCUGGGACAGGAACCGUCCCUACCCACCUUUGUUACUGCUUUACUGAGCAAAAUGCUCAAGGCAAGUCAGGCCUAGAAAGCCGGAUUGCUGCCCUUUAUUAUGGAUUUUCAAUAUAAGUAUCAGUUGAAAAUUGUCUCCCCAGGAAGAAAGGUUAGCACCAUCUGUGCAUUCUUCCUUCCAGAGCAGAUUGCCUGGCCAAGAAUCUCUCUUCCCCUCUUGUAUAUUGCUAGUGUACAGUGCCGGUUGCCAGGAUACAAUAAAAAAAAUGCUGUUUGCAAGAUGGAAUUGUAAACCUGGUCAUUUAAUUUUUGAAGUCCAAAAACCCAUUUAUACUAUGUACCUGAUGACCAGUGUCUCUCAUUUUACUAUGGGUGGUGGGUCUGUGGAUAGACCACUGUGAAUCUUGCUAUUUUAGUAUUCCCAAGAGUUCUAGAGCAGAACUCUUCAGACACAUAUCUUUGGGCUCUACCACCAUUUUAAAACCAUUCUUUAUUCGGGCUUUACCACCGUUCACUUUUAGAAAAACUACCUAAACUUUCUAAUCCUUAAAUUUCUUCAUCUGGAUCAUCAACCACACUUAUUUCAAGAAGAUUGCUGUAAAAGAAUGAACUGAGAGAACAUAUGCUGAGGCACUUUGGAAAACCAUAGUUCACUUUACCUGAUUAAUCUAUUACAUAAAUAAAAUGCACCCUGUUUAAUUCUGCUAAUUUAAAGUAGCCUGAAGCAUUACACUGAAGUGAGGACUUAGAAAUGAUGGGACCAAUUUCCCUGUUUUAUAUUAAAGGAAAAAUAAGCCAAGAUCUAGUCAUUCUUCUGGACAUAAAUUUUCAACAGUGAGAUAGCUUCCUGGUAAAAUGAAUAAUAUCCUAGCCUCUAGUGUGCAGGGUGUGGCAGAGAAGUAUCUAAUAUGGAACUGCUGAAGCAAAUAACUAGUCAUCACAACAGCAGUUCUUUGUAAUCACUGAAAAAGGAUACUAUUCCUCUAACAAGGAUGUCAAAAGAUCGGCCCAGCUCAGGGUGCAGUAUGCACUACUAGCUCCUUGGACCGCUGUAAGAAGAGUCUCUGGCUCUUUAGAAUACUGGAUGAAUUCUGAGCUGGUUUUGUACCUCCAGUCAAGAGGAAGGAUGGAUCAACUAUAAGUGGAUUGAAGCCUGCACUAGACAGCAUCCAAAGAUCUUCCUCAGAAGAAUAGGCUUGUUGCUCUAUAGUGUUAGUGACCCGUUCCCUUUGACGAUCCCUAGGUGGAGAUGGGGCAUGAGGAUCCUCCAGGGGAAAAGCUCACUACCACUGGGCAACAACCCUAGGCCAGGAGGUUCUACCAAGAUUCUUCCCUAGGCCCAGGGAGGAAGAUGAAGUCUCAAAACAACCACCACCCAUCAGAGGUGGGAGAACAUGGGCAACAAGUGCCACAUCUGUGACCUUGAUCAUGGGCAGAUCACCAUUUUGGACCCUCUGGUCCCCAGAGUCUUUCUUGAGGCCCUGUUGGGGAAUUUUGACAAUCAUUUACAUACUUCAAGAUGGCUUAGGAUGUCUUUGGGAUAAAACACAAAACAAGCUGUUUGAGAAGAUAAAUAGGAAUUGUAUACUUGCUGAUUAAUGGAACCUGACCAGAAAUGGCACAAAGUUUCUGUUGUCAGCUCCUGAUUGUUCCCUUCUUAUCUGCCAAAUCACUGUCUCCCAAAAGCAGUGCAGAGUGCAAGAAAGUGGAACAUACCAAAGGAAGAUCAACAUGCCUGGCAUGCUACCAUUUUAGAACAGCAGAAUGAAUGUGUAUGUCUUUGCUUGUCUAUUUCUUUCUUGAAUCUCUUUGGUUGUCUUUCUCCGUCUAAAGUGUGUCUUAGCCAUCCCAUGAUUCUCUUGCUAGUUUCUUCUCUGUAUCUUCUCAGUAUCUUUGUCUCAUUUUGUUUUUUGUCCCUAAGAGUGGUCUGUGCCUUGUCUUAGAUGUCUCUCUCUAGUUUCUUUGUUGUUGUUGUUACUGAUUCUCUUUACUCUCCUAGAACUGGCUGUUCUUUCACUGUUCUUCCCUUUUUGUCUCUGAGUCACAUGCUGUGUGCUUUUUGUUCAUUUCUUGUUCUGCCUAUACCUCUCUUCUUUUACUGUUGUGAACUCUUGAUUGUUCGUCUUCCCUUCCCCUUGUUGUUGGUUUGACAUUUCACCUUUUUCUCAUUCUGGCUUCCCUUCUGCUUUUUCUACUCAUUAUCUCACAUUUCUCUUUUCUGUAUAUUUGUUCUGCCUCUCUUGGCCAUUUUCUGUCUUUUUUUCCCCUGCUAAGUGUCUCUUUGUUCUUUGUGAUUUUCCAUUUCAGCAUUCAUCUCUGUUCUUUGUGAUUUUUCAUUUCAGCAUUCAUCUCUGUUCUUUGUGAUUUACUAUUUCAGCAUUCAUCUCUGUUCUUUGUGAUUUACCAUUUCAGCAUUCAUCUCUGUUCUCUUGUUUCUUCUCUGCUUUUCCCCUUCUGCUUACCUUUGAGUAUUUCAGUCUCUAUAUGUGUCUGUGUUUCCCCCCUUUGACUUUAUGCAGUCCUCUCUCCUUGCAUAUUUUUGUGCAUCUGUGUGGUCAUGUGUGUGUGUUUGUAACAAAGGGGUUUCCUAACCCCUUCCCAAUAGGUACAGAGUGCCAGCUAUCAAAAUCAUGCAGAGCUGUUCGUUAUGCCAGGACACCUUGUGAGAUGAUCUAAGACCUAUGAUGGACAGAAGGUGGAAGACCCAGAAUGGAUAGAAGGCCCAAUGGUUUGAGACUUGAGACCUGAGGACAAACAUGGAAAACCUGUGUUUCAAGAUAGAUGGAAUCCUCAGGCUUGAGACCAACAAAGCCCUGACAGCUAUGAUGUAAAAAGGUGGCUCUUGUUGGAGAGAAGACCUAACUGAGUUGGAUGGAAAGUUCAAAUCUUGAGUUAGAAGUCCAAAGACCCAGAGUGGGAGACUGUAGGCCUAAGUGUGGGGACCCAUGGAAGGCCUGAGACCUAAGACACAAGGUCUAAGACUUGAGAUAAAAACCUAAGAUCCAGGAUGGAAGGCCCCAGACACACAUAAAGACCCAGGACUCCUGCCUGUCUAAAUGGACAGAAGGCCGAAGAGAGAAAGAUGUCUCAAGGCUAAAUUAGGUGGGAAGCUGGAAGCCCAUGACACAGAAUCUGGGAAGAAUAGAAGCCCCAAGACCAAAGGAAAUCCCAAGAUGAAAACACUAAACCCCAGCUUCUUUCUAUUGCUACCCUCCCUACCCCUUGACAUUUUCAGUUCUCCCUUUCCAGUUCUUAUGUUUUCAUUUAAGCCCACUUCUUUUGAGGAGCCCUUUUUGAUGUUGCUAUUACCUUAGGAAACGUAUCUUUAGAUUGGCAAUAUUAUGCUUGGGCCAGUCUUAAGCCAAAUUUUAUCACAGUUUUGAGCCAUUUAUUGUUUAUUUUUUAAAUUUCCAUUUCUCUUCACCUCUGCUCCUUGAGAGACACAUAUAGGUAACAUUGUAUUUCAGUCCUCCCUUUUCCUUAGAAGCUCUAGCCUGAUGAGCAAAGGCAAGCAUCAGGCUGUUGGGGGAAAAAAAGUGCCAGGCUAUCUAGAGGAAAUGUGAAGAGAUGUUCCAGGCCAAUGAGAAGAAUUAGACAAGAAAUACCCAGAUGUGCCAUCCUGUUGAGAAGCACCAGCCUGCAACACCUUUCUUCUUUGAGCUUGGGUGAGCAGGAUUCUUGGGGUUUGGGAUUCCUAGUAAUGGUUACAAAAUGAAUGAUUGGGCCUGGGAUGGAGUGAGGCUCCAAAGAGACAGUUUGAACUCCCUGCUUAUAGUAGUGGCCUAAUAAUUUGGUAGAUUGUGCUAGCACUGCUCCUGGGUUUAAUACCCACCUCUAGGCUUAAAGGUGAGAGAACUUGGGAAUAUUAGCAGGUUUAAUUCUUCCCUUGAUUUUUCCCCCCUUACCACGAGGGUAGAUAAUUUAAAUAACUGAGAAUAUAUGUGAAAGCACUGUAAAGCACAGAAAAAACAAGGCAUUCUCAUUAAUAGUAUAUUGGCAGCCAUGCAUAGCUAACAUUUAAAGUGCACUGUCAGUUGUGAAGCAUUAUGUAAAUCAGGAGUCAUCACACACUUUCCAUAAAGGGUCAGAUGGUAAAUAUUUUAGGUUUUGUGGGCCAUAUGGUCUCUGACACAUUUUUUUCCUUUACAACCCUUUAAAAAGGAAAAACUAUUCUUAGCUGGUGAACCAAGUAGAUUUAGUCUGGGGGCCAUAGUUUUUAUCACCCCUGAUGUAAAUACCAGGGACUAUGUGCUGAAUAAUAAUAUUUCUGUAUGCCUGUCCCUGUGUACUAAGGAUGCAAUAUUUAUUUAUGAUCACAUCCAGGUGACUUGAAGAAAAAUAUGUGAAUGUGCUUUGUAAACUAUAAAGCACUUAAAGAUUUAUGAGUUUCAGAGUUGAUGAAUGAAUAUUGAUUACAUAGUAUCUAUAUUCUAAAAGAAGCCUGAAUAAAGUACUUUGUCAAAAGUAUAUAAUACUAUGCAGAUACUAGGAAUUGUUUGAAAAAUGAAUAACUCCUAUAUUUGUGGCUAUCGUGUUUCUGCUGCUCUGGUAAUUUUUAGGUAAAAAUACAGUAUUCCAGGUAGCAGAGAAGCAAACACAUGGAAACUGCUUUGAAACCAUAAAAUAUACUGCAAGCACAGGGUAUUAAACUAUUGUGAGCCCUUAAAAUGUGCCGGAUACCAUGGUAGGUGCUACAGAUGUCAAAGGGAAAAGAAGUGUUCUCAUUAUGGAAUUAAAAAUUUCAGAGUAUGAGGUGCAUGUUAAAGUGCUUUAUAUACUAAAGCACUAUAUAAAAACCAGUGGGUUACAUGUUUAUGAAUGGAUGAAUAUUAAUUGCCUUUUAUGGGCCCGGUACUGUUCGGGUACUGUGAAAUCUAAGAUAAUGCUCCCAUGUAAUAAGAGGGAGGUUUAUGUCCUAGACUAUUUAGAUAUAAGGAAUUAGAUAUUGGUUGUUUUAAUCAAGACUUUACUGGUCAUGUCAAAUUAAAUGAUCAGUAUAUUUUCCCAGGUGACGGGAAAAUGUAAUGAUUGAGAUUGCCCUUGCACUUUCUAAAGUGCUCUAUAAAUAUAGGACAUUAUCUAUUUUCUGUGUGAAUAAAACUUUCUGUGAGAUAGGCAUUUUCUGUACAAAAUUCUCAUUGUGUGCUUGACUAUGAUGAAGGUAGUAUAAACAGUUAUACAAACUGAGGGUUUAAAUACUUGUUGAAUGAAUGAAUAUCAUCAGUUGCUCACUAGGUAAACUCACUAUUAUAGGCACUAAAGAGAUAGACUUAUCAUUUCAUUGUGCUUACAGCUGAGAAUAAGGCAAUACAUGUGUGGUAUUUUGGAAACUCUAAAGCACCUUGUAAGUGUAACUACUUAUUUUCUAAUUUGGUGCUGAGUACUAGGCUUAUAAAAUUAUAUUGUAGUCGUCAUUAUACUAUGAAAAAAGUUGAAAAAUUUUUGAGGAAAAAUUACCUCUUGAACACUCUGAAUGUAAUAUAUAAAGGAUUAAAUAUCUGAUAAAUAUAAAACUGGAUAAUAAUUGUCUAUUAUGUGCCAAUCUCAUAAGUCAUUGGCGAUGUGAAAUUAGACCAUCUUUAUUGUGUCCUGGGUAGCAGCAGAUAAUGUAUAAAAUCAAUUUAUAAGUUUUAUACUGCCAAAACAAUAUCUGCUGAGUGAACAUUGAUUACUUACUCUCUUUUAUCCCCAAAGAUAGCAAGUGGGGAUGCAAAAAUUCGUUAUCAGAGAUGUGCAAAUUUACAGAGCCUAUUGUUCUAUACAGAUAUAAGGAAAUAAUUUGGCUUAAUGAAUGAUUACUGGUUACUUUCUAUGAGGCUCAGAACUGUCCAUGCCCUACGAUACGAAAAUGAUUUUGUCCUUAUGGGGUGUUCAUUGGAGGAAAUAAGCAAAUAGGUGGGAGAUCCAGACUAAAAGUUACUUAAGCACUGCAAAGCUUAUUUAAUAAAAACAUGGGGAAAAUGGAAUUGUGCCAGGCAGUAUGCUAAAUGCUGACCUCUGUGGAAAGAUAAAAUCUGAAUCAGAGGUGUACUUGCUCCCUGGCCUGGCUGAAGAGAUGGGAAAUAUUUUUAAAAAGCAAGGUGUUACAGUUCUCUCAGUCUUUAAAAUGCUGAAUGCUGAAGGUGGAAGUGAAUUCAAUCCACCCUGGUCUGGCUUGAGUCAUUAAAGGAGUAAAAAUAAAUGACUCAGGAGUAAAAAGCAAAUGGCUUUGUUUUUAGAUUCAUUUGAGAUGAAAGACAUCGUUCUAGGUCUUAAGAGAAGUGAAAUGGGCCAAGUCUAAAGGGCAUUAGAAUACAGAUUAUGGAUGAAGAUAAGAAAAUACUGAGUUUUGAGCAAAUAUUUGAGUGCCUGUUCUCCGGAACGUAUUAUGCUAGAAAAAUUAGUUAAGUGGGUCUGGUCCAGAAAAUGCACAUUGACAUGCCUUGGAGAUUAAAAAAAUAGAAAAAUAAGGCAUGGUUCUUUUAAUAUUAAAUGAAGACAUUAUUUCUAGUUCUAGAAAGUCCCAAUGUCACUUGCUCAUUGACCUAGUUUGAAGCCCAAAGACUGAUACAAGGGCGCUUAGGACUUGUCCUUUUAUUCGUUACUUUAAUACUCUGUUUUUAUUAUAGAUGAAUGAUUUAAGAUGAGAAUUAAGAUGAAAUAACUGGUUUUAAAAAUAUUUGCUUAUUGACCUGGCUUAGAGUCAGGAAGCCACUUGAGCAGAUUUUUUCCCUACAUUUUCCAUAUUUUGUAAAAAUUUAUUUACCCUGAGUAAAGUACUGUUCUCAAAUGCUGAGAAUUAAGAAAUAAAAGUCCUAGACCAAAAUGUAAUUUAAUCUCAAUAGUCUAUGGUGGAAACACAAGAACAAAUUUAAUAAGAGACUGAAGUUCUUUUAUUACUUGAAUAAAUGUUAUUGAGCAGCUAGGAUAUUAAGACACUAAGAACAAGUGACCACCUUCUCUUUGACAUGUUUUGUAGAGUGGGAAUAAGAGAGGGCUUUCUAUUAAUUCAUACUAAUACUGAAGGUGAUGUUAAAUUGGAACAGAUCUGGUAUAAAAUGCACUUAGUUUAUCUUGGAGAUGCAAUAAAACAAAACAACACAAAAAAUGGAAUGAAAUUCUUCCUUAAAUGGAAGUGUCUAUUUAAAGGUAUUCUGUUGCUAGACAGAAAACAAAAAAGAUCAUGACUGAAAGAAACUGAUUUUUUAUUAGCUUGGAGACUAGGAUAUAAGAGGUUACUGUUCAUUUCUUCAUUUAUGCAUUCUACAAGUAUGUUUGAGUGCCUAUUAUGUAUAAGGUUUUUUGCUAUGUUCCAGUUCUCCUCAGAGACACGAAAAAAUGAAUGCUUUCCUAUAGAACUUUUAAAACUUUCCUUUUGGCCUGUUUUCUGAUUAGGGGCAUGGCUUAGUCCCUUAAUAAUGUUGUAGGUUUUAAUUCCUGUUCUGUGUUUCUUCUACCACUCUGGCCACUACAGUAAGCAGGGUUUUCUAUUGAGCUAGCUCUUUAAGUGUGAGGAACUUUCCUUAUAGUAGAAUUACUUUAUUUUUCUUGGCCCAUCCCUCAGAAAAAAUGGCUGUGACCACUGCUAGGCAGAAGGAGGGAUGAGAAACAACUAAUUCCCAAACCCCAGUCUCAUUGGUACCAGCCUUGGGGAAACACUCAUACUCAAGCCACAUUUGGUUUUGAAACACAUUUAUCAGUUUUAUUUGCUUUUAAUUCUUUACAUUUUACAUUCUGACAAAUAUACACUGCCUAAAUCUCCUUUAAGAACAAUCUUCAGAUGGUACAUAACAUAAUGGGAGAGACAUGAUUUCUCUUUUGCAACAGCUUUGCAAUUUAAUCUUUAGAAAUCUCACCAUCAAAACAUGUUCAAGAAAGGAUCUCUUAUAGUGGAAUUAUGUCAGUGAAUAAAAAUAGCUUAAUUUUACCAUGUUUAAAAUUAUAAAAUAAUAGAAAUUGGAAGUAAUUGGCAAAAACUGGAGGUAAAUAAUAAAAAAAUCCUCAAUCUAGCGCCCAACUGGGCUUUGACCUUUUCUAUUUUUAAAUCACUCACAGCGGGUGGGAUUAGGAGGAAGAGUGAAAGAGAAGGUCAAACCAGUUUUAAGGGCAGCCUGCUUGUGUUUUGUAUUGGUUUUAAGAGCAUUACUACCUCCAAAUCAAACUAGGGGAUUGCUUUUUUUAGUUUAAUGCAAUUCCAAUAACUGGCCAUUGUUGAGAUGAAGACACAGUAGUUUUUGAGAAACAAUUUUGGACUAAAUGUUUAUCAACUAAAUACUAACGUUUGGCUUUUAAUAUGUGGUAUCAGCUGGAUUCUGUAACACUCUUAUUUUCAGGUUGGGGUCGGGGAUUACAUUACUGGAAAUUGGAAAGGAGAAAGUAACUAAAAGCCUUCCUUUCACAGUUUCUGGCAUCUUAAGACUACUGCUACUGAUAAGAAUAAGAACAUGCUGUCAUCUGAUUUUUAUGGCAUAAAUGAAAUUGUGGACAAAUCCGUUUUUAAAGAAAAUGGCUUCGUCUCUACCUUUCUACCUAAAAAGGAAUCUAUGUCAAAUGCUCCGAUAAAUGGGAAGAUACACUUGGACUUGUGAACUGAUGUGAAAUGCAGAAUUUUUUAGCUUUGAGUGUUUUGAAGAUUGAAAAAUCGUGCUCAGCAUGGGUGACCACAAAAACAAUCUAAAGCCAUCUACAUGUCACAACUGAGAGAAAUUGGGGAAUGUUGUCUAAUGUCAAAUAAAAU